rnacentral:rRNA from 1 species
CACGUAGGGGCCAAGCGUUGUCCGGAUUUAUUGGGCGUAAAGAGCGUGUAGGCGGCCAGGUAGGUCGGUUGUGAAAACUGGAGGCUCAACCUUCAGACGUCGACCGAAACCAUCUGGCUAGAGUCCGGGAGAGGAGAGUGGAAUUCCUGGUGUAGCGGUGAAAUGCGCAGAUAUCAGGAAGAACACCCGUGGCGAAAGCGGCUCUCUGGAACGGUACUGACGCUGAGACGCGAAAGCGUGGGGAGCAAACAGG